UCUAAACUUUUUUUCUGUUCGGCCCAUAUGACUACGAAUAAGGCCCUUUUGACUUUUUCCAUCGGCCCUUUUGACUUGGCACUUCUCGGCCCUUUUGUCCUUCGGCCUAUUUGACUAGUUCCCUUUAGCACGAACUAAGGGGUCCUGGUUCAAACAGUAAU